UAAAAAUUGAAAAAGCCCUUUUCACUUCCUGAAAGCAUUAAACAGCCUGUAUGUACAGUGGAAACGUGGAGGCGGGGGAACUAACGUCAGAGGUCACGACCGUCUCAAAUCUGAAAGCGGAACUUCCGCUUUAGCAGUCACGUUGCAACAGGCCCCAGCCCGGCAGCCCUGCCCACGGCCCCGAGCCCCGCUUUCCCCGCCUUUCUUCGCGCCUCCUCCGGCCUUAAGCUCCUGGCCCCUUUCUCUCCACCGUCCAGGCACACGGGCGCCCAGGCCUCCGCAAAUGAAGACUGUCCAAGAUGGUGGUUCAGGCCUGAAGUCUGCCGGACAGCUUUCUCACCCAUGUGGCCUUCUACUUUCCGGGCGGGUUCUUUGCCGCCAGCUCCACCUGGGAAGCUCCUAGGAAACCUCGCUGCUGCUGACGCUGCUGCUGAGUCGCUUCACUCGUGUCCGACUCUCUGUGACCCCACAGACGGCAGCCCACCAGGCUCCUCUGCCCCAGGAUUCUCCAGGCAAGAACACUGGAGUGGGUUUCCAUUUCCCUCUCCGGAAAACCUCAUUACUAACAAAUAAAUCUAUCUAUGGUCAUUUAUAUUAUCUGAAGUAAUGAAAAAUACACUAAAAUGUUCUUCAUAUUUUACUCAUUUGAAAUCUAGAAAUUAAUUAGAAACUAAUUUAGAAACUCAGAAACUAAUUAAAAAUUUACAAAUUUCUAUUGAACAAAAUGUUGGGUUUACUAUUUAUACUGUAUUAAAAUUCAUUAUUGCCUCUACA